AUUAUGAAUUUUUUUCUCAAUUUUUAUAAUAAUUUAUUUAUUAAAAAUUGUCAGAUGUCAGCUAACUUGAGCAUCAUCUUGUCAUAAGAUCACAAGUAUGUGUCGAGCGACUUUGACAUUGUCAACAGAUAGAAAAACUAUUAUUAAAAAGUCAACUUACAACAAUUGUUCCAAGUUAUUGUGUUUCGGUAAUUAUAAAAAAAAAAACACUGACAUUGCGGUGAUAUAUUAUUGUACUGCUAACAAACCGUUUUGCGUAUCAAAAACACCCACUGUUGUAUAAAUGACACAGUAGAUUACAACUAUUAUUUAAAAUUUUUUAUUUACUUGAAAUUGUCAUAUUGUAUGACCAAUAAUGCAAAUAUCAAUACUGUCACGGGAAUUGAGUGAAAAAUUGUAAUUGUUGAUUUAGUGACGAGAUUAAACAAAGGUGUGAGACGGUGCUAGCGGUCAGUUGACACACUUCAAGGUUGUUAACAAUAAUUCUUCAGCCAUUGAUACCCCGAGGCUUUUCUACCAAGAUCUUCAAGACAAUUUUUCUUCAAGAUGCCCUCUUCAUCCCAGGCUCAUUUUUUCGAAGUGCACUGUCCAAAGGUGAAAAGAGAUGGAGUUAUUUUUAUGAUCGUCAAACAUCAUUCAAAGGUA